rnacentral:rRNA from 1 species
AAGCCUGAACCAGCCAAGUCGCGUGAAGGAAGACGGUUCUAUGGAUUGUAAACUUCUUUUGUAGAGGAAUAAUGGCAGCUACGUGUAGCUGAGAUGCAUGUACUCUACGAAUAAGUAUCGGCUAACUCCGUGCCAGCAGCCGCGGUAAUACGGAGGAUACGAGCGUUAUCCGGAAUUAUUGGGUUUAAAGGGUGCGUAGGUGGCGUAUUAAGUCAGUGGUGAAAAGCUGCAGCUCAACUGUAGUCUUGCCGUUGAAACUGAUAUGCUAGAGAGGAGACGAGGUAUGCGGAAUGUGUGGUGUAGCGGUGAAAUGCAUAGAUAUCACACAGAACGCCGAUUGCGAAGGCAGCGUACCAGGCUCCGUCUGACACUGAAGCACGAAAGCGUGGGGAUCAAACAGGAUUAGAUACCCUGGUAGUCCACGCAGUAAACGAUGAAUACUAGAUUUUUGCGAUAUACAGUAAGAGUCUAAGCGAAAGCGAUAAGUAUUCCACCUGGGGAGUACGCCGGCAACGGUGAAACUCAAAGGAAUUGACGGGGGCCCGCACAAGCGGAGGAACAUGUGGUUUAAUUCGAUGAUACGCGAGGAACCUUACCCGGGCUUGAACUAACGGUGACGAAUCUAGAGAUAGAUUUUUCUUCGGACACCGUUGGAGGUGCUGCAUGGUUGUCGUCAGCUCGUGCCGUGAGGUGUCGGCUUAAGUGCCAUAACGAGCGCAACCCCUUUUCUUAGUUGCCAUCAGGUAAUGCUGGGCACUCUGGGAAUACUGCCACCGUAAGGUGUGAGGAAGGUGGGGAUGACGUCAAAUCAGCACGGCCCUUACGUCCGGGGCUACACACGUGUUACAAUGGGGGGUACAGAAGGCCGCUACCCGGCGACGGGAUGCAAAUCUUUAAAACCUCUCUCAGUUCGGAUCGGAGUCUGCAACCCGACUCCGUGAAGCUGGAUUCGCUAGUAAUCGCGCAUCAGCCAUGGCGCGGUGAAUACGUUCCCGGGCCUUGUACACACCGCCCGUCAAGCCAUGGAAGUUGGGAGUACCUGAAGAGCGUAACCGGAAGGGGCGCUUAAGGGUAAUACCAGUGACUGGGGCUAAGUCGUAACAAGGUAGCCGUACCGGAAGGUGCGGCUG